CAGCCGCCGCGGUAAUACCAGCGUCACAAGUGGGAACCACAAUUAUUGGGUCUAAAGCGUCCGUAGCCGGCUUAGCUGGUUCUUUGUGAAAUCGUUAAUGUCAACUUAAUGGCGUGCAAAGAAUACUGGUUAGGCUUGGGACUGGGAGAGGUCAGAGGUAUUCUAGGGGAAGCGGUAAAAUGUUAUAAUCCCUGGAGGACCACCAAUGGCGAAGGCAUCUGACCAGAACAGGUCCGACGGUGAGGGACGAAAGCUAGGGGAUCAAAACGGAUUAGAUAUCGAGAAAUCCGCAAUCGAAUUUCUUGGAUUUAGUCUCGCAAGUUGAUCAAACAACUGCCUUGCGAGAUGAGCCAAGCUAAUAUCGGAUUUUGCUCGACUAAAUACCCGUGUAGUCCUAGCUGUAAACGCUGCAGGUUAGGCGUUGCACAAUCCACGAGAUUGUGCAGUGUCGUAGCGAAGGCGUUAAACCUGCCACCUGGGAAGUACGGCCGCAAGUCUGAAACUUAAAGGAAUUGGCGGGGGAGCACCACAAGGGGUGCUACGUGCGGUUCAAUUUGAUUCCACACGGGAAAUCUCACUAGAAGCGACGGCAAAAUGAAGGCCAGGCUGAAGACCUUGCCUGAUGAGCCGAGAGGAAUUGCAUGGCCGUCAUCAGCUCGUGCCGUAAGGUGUCUUGUUAAGUCAGGCAACGAGCGAGACCUGCAUCCACAAUUGCUAACAAGUCCUCCGGGAUGAUUGAGCACGUUGUGGGGACUGUCUUGGAAACANGAGGAAGGUGCAGGCUAUGAUAGGUCAGUAUGGUCCUAAUCUUCUAGGCUACACUCGCGUU
rnacentral:rRNA from 1 species